rnacentral:rRNA from 1 species
UACAGAGGUCCCAAGCGUUGUUCGGAUUCAUUGGGCGUAAAGGGUGUGUAGGCGGCGCCGUAAGUCGGGCGUGAAAUUUCGGAGCUUAACUCCGAGACUGCAUUCGAUACUGCGGUGCUUGAGGACUGGAGAGGAGAGUGGAAUUCAUGGUGUAGCAGUGAAAUGCGUAGAGAUCAUGAGGAAGACCAGUGGCGAAGGCGGGUCUCUGGACAGUUCCUGACACUGAGGCACGAAGGCCAGGGGAGCAAACGGG